CUUUUUAGUUAACACAGUUUCUUUAUUUCACUUCAUUCAUACAGUAUAUGCAUAUUUACACACACAGUAUAUGCUCACAUGCUACUGAUGGGUCGAAUUUGGAUAGAUUGUUACAGGUUAUUAAAGAAUGUUUGAAAUUUUCGAAUUAACGACGUGUGUACAGGACAACGUCUGUCGGGUCUACUAGUAUGUAUGCGUACAAGAAUUUAAGAAUGUGAGAUGAAACAAAAGACACCAAAAGGGAAUUUCUUGAUAAAAAGAACACCAAAAUAGUCACCUAUUCAAAUGCAAGUCGCCAUCCUUCAAAGGGAACGUUUCACAGAAAAAGCGGCAUGCCAGUCUCUGGUGAGUCAGAGUGCCGGUAGUUCAUAUUCACCAAUAUAGGUUGCACAAAACCAAAAGCACUAUAGUUUUGUUUAUAACUAUUUGCUAUUUUGAUUAUGGAAUAAUGUUUUUUGCUUUUAACAAAUAAUUAAAUUAUACAAUCUCGAUAGAGAUAAAUAUGUGAUUUA